rnacentral:rRNA from 1 species
AGCGGCAGGCUUAACACAUGCAAGUCGAGGGGUAACAGGGAUUGCUUGCAAUUCGCUGACGACCGGCGCACGGGUGCGUAACGCGUAUGCAACCUACCUUCUACAAGAGGAUAGCCCAGAGAAAUUUGGAUUAAUACUCUAUACGAUCAUUAACUGGCAUCAGUCAAUGAAGAAAACUCCGGUGGUAGAAGAUGGGCAUGCGUCCUAUUAGUUAGUUGGUAAGGUAAUGGCUUACCAAGACUUCGAUAGGUAGGGGUCCUGAGAGGGAGAUCCCCCACACUGGUACUGAGACACGGACCAGACUCCUACGGGAGGCAGCAGUGAGGAAUAUUGGACAAUGGAGGCAACUCUGAUCCAGCCAUGCCGCGUGCAGGAAGACAGCCCUACGGGUUGUAAACUGCUUUUAUACAGGAAGAAUUAUACCUACGUGUAGGUAUUUGACGGUACUGUACGAAUAAGGAUCGGCUAACUCCGUGCCAGCAGCCGCGGUAAUACGGAGGAUCCAAGCGUUAUCCGGAAUCAUUGGGUUUAAAGGGUCCGUAGGCGGUCUGGUAAGUCAGAGGUGAAAUCCUGCAGCUCAACUGUAGCAUUGCCUUUGAUACUGCCAUACUUGAGUUAUUGUGAAGUAGUUAGAAUGUGUAGUGUAGCGGUGAAAUGCAUAGAUAUUACACAGAAUACCGAUUGCGAAAGCAGAUUACUAACAAUAUACUGACGCUGAGGGACGAAAGCGUGGGUAGCGAACAGGAUUAGAUACCCUGGUAGUCCACGCCGUAAACGAUGGAUACUAGCUGUUCGACCAACAUUGGUUGGUUGAGUGGCUAAGCGAAAGUGAUAAGUA